AAGGCUUGCGGUGGAUACCUAGGCACCCAGAGACGAGGAAGGGCGUAGUAAGCGACGAAAAGCUUCGGGGAGUUGAAAAUAAGCAUAGAUCCGGAGAUUCCCAAAUAGGUCAACCUUUUAAACUGCCUGCUGAAUCCAUGAGCAGGCAAGAGACA
rnacentral:rRNA from 1 species